rnacentral:rRNA from 1 species
CAGUCGCCGCGGUAAUACGAAGGGUGCAAGCGUUAAUCGGAAUUACUGGGCGUAAAGCGUGCGUAGGCGGUGAGUUAAGUCUGCUGUGAAAUCCCCGGGCUCAACCUGGGAAUGGCAGUGGAUACUGGGUCACUAGAGUGUGGUAGAGGAUAGUGGAAUUUCCGGUGUAGCAGUGAAAUGCGUAGAGAUCGGAAGGAACAUCUGUGGCGAAGGCGACUAUCUGGGCCAACACUGACACUGAGGCACGAAAGCGUGGGGCGCAAACAGGAUUAGAUACCCCAGUAGUCCCUGUCUCUUAUAC